UACGUAGGGGGCAAGCGUUGUCCGGAAUCAUUGGGCGUAAAGAGCGUGUAGGCGGCCCGGUAAGUCCGCUGUGAAAGUCGGGGGCUCAACCCUCGGAUGCCGGUGGAUACUGUCGGGCUCGAGUACGGAAGAGGCGAGUGGAAUUCCUGGUGUAGCGGUGAAAUGCGCAGAUAUCAGGAGGAACACCUAUUGCGAAGGCAGCUCGCUGGGACGUUACUGACGCUGAGACGCGAAAGUGUGGGGAGCGAACAGG
rnacentral:rRNA from 1 species